UUUUUUUUUUUUUAAAUGGCAUUCCUAAUGAUAGCUUGAAAGAAUCCAAUAAAGUAUAAUAGAGAAACCUAACUGAAUCCAAGUUAGUUAUUAACUGAUAUUAGUUUUUCAAGAAUACCUAGGUAUAUGUUAGAGAUGUAUAUUAGCACAAAAUUAAAGAAUUAGAAUUAAAAAUAUUUGAGAUGACAGGUCCCAUAAAACAGACCAGACACUACGAAGAUCCCCUAAUAAUAAUUACACCCAAGAGACAAGGACUGGUCCCCCUCAAUGAGAGUUAGUUAUUAGACCCUGGGCCUUCCCUUGGGGAGAGCCUGUGGAAGCUGAACAAACACCUGGUCUGUGGUGCUGCUCAGUGCCUGCUCAGGAACACGGGGUGGGAAAAGAGAGCCCAAGUUCUUUGUAGACCAAGAGGCUCUCAGAUGGCCACUCCUCCCACAGACACCACAUCUGCACUCACCAUACUCUAAAGAGGUCAGCUGUUAUCCUUAACCUCACCCAUUUGUUAGAAAUCCUCCCCUUUCUCCAAGCAGUCAAGGAAGACAAAAAAGGGUGAGAAAUCUGGGAAUUUUACCCAACCUGUGUUCUGUGCUCUGUGAGUCAAGCCUAUCCACUUACGUAAAAAAAUAAUCCACAUCUUUUCAGGGCUGGAAGCAGAGGUUAGCUUCUAAAUAUACUAGUAUAAGGGUGAGAACUGUCCUAAGCCCUUGCAUUUCAAAUGUAAUUGCUUAGAUUUUGAGAAAUUUCUUUCUUUCUUUUUUUUUUUUGGUCUUUUUGCCACUUCUUGGGCCGCUUCAGCGGCAUAUGGAACAACAACAACAACAACAAAAAAAAAAGAAGGUAUGUUAUAAAACUCCAUUAUCUACUCUUGUUUUGAAAGACGUCUUUAUUUUUCUUUAAUUACCUACUUUCUCUUUAGCUAAAUUCUAGCUAAAAGGUGGCAUUUUGUAAUGAAAGACAAAUUUCAUCUAUUUUGUCAAUGUUCCUUCCCCCAAUGUGUCUCAAAUGCCCAUUUGCUUUUGGGUAUAACUUCACUCUAACACUAUUCUUUAGUAUAAUUAUUGGUUUUCCACUAACCUCUAGCUCAUAACUAACAUGAGAAUUUAAAUAAGAUCAUAUGUGGGAAUAUAUAUAAAAAACUGCAGUGGGACCAAAGUUCUUUGUUGUAGUUUACUGACAAUAAUAACCAAUAUUAAAACAUUUUAUAAGAUACAGAUAGCAGAUGUGUGACCAACUGAGUACAUCUUUUUAAGGUUAUAUUGAUACCUUAACUAAAUAAAAGUGAUGCAGAUUGUAACCAGAGAGUAGGAAUUAACUAGAAGGGGGAGGAAGGGCAUUCUUGGCAGAGGAAACAUCCUGUGCAAAGGCUAGGGAGAGGGAGGACUUGCAUGUGUGAUACAGAAUCUUAAGGAGCCAGGUUCAGCUUGGUUGAUAAUCAGGCUUAGGAAGUAGACAGAGUCUACAUUAGGCAUAACUUAGGGACCACACCUAAGAUCCUGAGUUGUUUCCUAAGGGUAGGGGAAGCCACUAAAUAGCUUCAGGUAACAGGAAGGAACAAGGGCUACAGCUUCUCCACACUUAACUCUUUCUUCAGCUAUACCAUACUGUAUGCCUCAAAACUCCCAUACAUGGGACAACUCUCCCUGGCAUUACUUGCCUCACCUUAUUUGCCUAACUACCUGCUAACCUGUCCUCAAGAUUCAGCUCAAAAUUUCACAUUGCUGCCCUCAAUCUGUUUCAGAUGCCCAUUCACCCUAUAUAUAAUUUCCCACUAACAUGAACUGUUCCUUAGCAAAAUGGUUGGUUUUCCACUAUCCUCUACUCUUUCUAAGGAGAGAGGACAUCUUUUAUUCAUCAAUGCUCCAAGGCAUUAAUGUACAAUAGUAAUUAAUAUACAAGUACUUCCAAAAAUCAUUUAUUCAAUGAUCAAUAAAACCCAAGACACAAUUGAGUAUAAUUCCCAGAUAUAAGGAUUGAGUUAUAUUUGUUCCCCCAUAAAAGCAUACAAAUUAAAAUGAUUUUAAAAAGCCUUGGAGUAUGUCAUAGGAAGAAAUAUUGCCUUAGAUUACAUUGAGCUACAAGAGCUGAGCUAUACUCCAUACUAUUUAAUAUGACCUACAACACUCAUUUAACAAAUAUAUAUUGAACAUACUAGGGGCCAAGUGCUAUAGCAAUGAUCCUUAUAUUAAAUGCAAAUUCAAUAAGAAGUGAGCUUAAUUGUAUAUACUACUUCAUGAAAAUUAUCACUGAUACUAUAUGUUACAAGAGCAUUGAAAUGUAAUAUUCACUUUCAAUCAUAACUCUGGACACAUCAGAUAACAAAGUCUAGAUUACUCAGAAUGUUUUCUCUUUCACAAAGUCAAAAGCCUUUUUGAAAUGUCAGCCCUGAACAUCAUAAAAUUAUACAGAAUGAUGAGGAACCAAGCUUAUAGUGCAUAUAAAUAUGAGAGCAUAUUAGACUGCAUUUAAUUACCAGUUCAAACAACAACCUGAUCUAACCUUUGACAAGUAAAAUAAAUGUUCUGAAUAAUUUAACGAAAGCAAACAUUUGCUGUUAAUGCUGCUAAUUAUAGUACAAGCUGGAAAAAAGAAAGGGAAGAGAAAUGAUGAAGAGAAGAGAAGAGAAGGGGAGAUGGAAUUAUUUUAAUUAAGGUUGAAAUCUGCAACUGUUUAUUGAAACAUGAAUUUUUUCAAUGAAUUCAAUUCACAUAAAAGGGCAAACUAUGUUGAGCAAAGUUGCUUUUAUAAAUACUCAGCUAAAGUAACAUUUCAUUAGAAAGCUCAUUCUUUCAGUAAGUAGAAUCACCAGAUAUCAUGGGGACAAGGAAAGCCAGUUACAGAUGAAUUAGGGU
ensembl:lncRNA